rnacentral:sRNA from 2 species
UUUUUGCGUGAGGGAUAGCAGUGGAAAUCCUUUUAUGUAGCGUAGCGGAAUAAAAGAUUGGAACGAAUAGCCCGACCCGUA